rnacentral:lncRNA from 1 species
CAAAAUUUGAUUGCCACGUGUACAAGCCUCUAAAGUAUUACAAUUGAAUCAAAAGAAAAAUACAAGUCUCAUAUGACAUUGUUUCUAGAGUAGAACAAGAUCAUAAACAGGAGUAAGAAGGAUCGCUGAGAAGACAAACAACUACCUCACAAAUCUCCCAGAAGCCUCGGAAAAGAAGAGAAUAACAAGUACCACAAAAAUCCAGGCUCGUAACCUACAAAAAUUUGUAGAAGCAAGGGGUGAGUACCAAACCACACGGUACUCAGCAAAUAAACCUCUAAACACGAGCUAAUGGGAUAGAAUACAAGUACUCCUUACACCCCAAACGAACCUUCACAACUACAAUCUGUACAAAACCAGCCCAACCUAACAGUUCACAAUUUACAAGCACAUAUCUCAACAACAACAUUCUAACAAUCACAUAUUCUCAACAACAAGCUCAAUAUUCAUCAGUCACAAGUUCCAUAGAAAGGCACUCACAAGAUCAGCAACACACAAGAUCAAGUUCACCAAUAAUAAAGAAGUGCAAUGCAAUGAAAUGCAAUGUCAAGUAUAGUGAUGCAUGUCUGACCUAAUGAUACACACCCGCUGUCUCUCAGUCCGGGACCCAUGGGGGACAUAUCUGUCCAUGCAUCCAUCGCGGCGCGCGAUACNNNNNNNNNNNNNNNNNNNNNNNNNNNNNNNNNNNNNNNNNNNNNGCGCGAUAUGUCCCUCGAAAUGGUACAUCCUCUUUAUUUUCUUAUUCUUUCUCAAUGCACAUAACACUUGUCAGAACCAUGUCUCAGAACAAUGCAAAUGACAUGUUCACACAAAUAAUGAGGAGAUGACCAUUUUCAUAACAUUGCACAAUUCACAACAAGACAAUCAUGAUACAACAUCAACAAUGAUUCAACAAGCCUUUCAAACAAUUCUCAACACAUCACACAAACAAUUGAUCACAUUGCCUUUUAUUAUCCCUUUUUCAUCAUUAGAAUUAAUCAAUGUGGACAAGUCAACCCAUCACCAAGCCUCAUUACCCUAAACACAUAUUACAAGGAAAUACAUGAAUUCCAUACACUUAACAAGGGUUUAGAAAUCCACUUGCCUCAAAUAGUCGGACAAUCACUCCGGGACUUGAGUCUUCC